rnacentral:misc_RNA from 1 species
AACCAUAGAAACCUGCGGAGUACCUGCGGAAGGAUCAUUGAAGUGUGUAAGGGGGUGGGUGAGGGGGAGAGGAGGAAGAGAGAAGAAAUUUUUCUUUCAGGGAUAUUCUCUUAGCCCACCAAUAAACAUUUGUGAAGAGUUGUGAUUGGUGGGGGAAGGGGGGGAAGAGUGAUGGUGGAAAGAGUUUUCAUUCACACACACCAAUCAUGAUAACGAAACAUUAAAAUGUAAAGAUAAAAU